GUCAGAGGGAACUUCAAAGGCAGCGAGGAAACAAUAGAGGAGAGAUAUUUUUAUCUAUUCUCUGAAACGAAAGAACGAAAUAAUGAUUUGGAACGUCGUGAUCUUUGCGGCUCUGGCAACAACAUCUCUGGCAAAAGGCUCCAUUGAAUGCAGUUUUUCUGAACCAGGAGCUCGGUGCAUCGGAACGACGGGACAGCGGCUCAUUUUUCAUCUGCCGAACACAGAAAAUGCAGAAAUUAGGCUGAUUAAGGACGAAAAAGUUCUCGUUUUUAAAAUAUCAAAAAAUCGCAUUCUGAAUUCAGAUAAAGAAUACGUGACUGAGCCUGAAGUCUUCACCAACGGAACGGUGUCCCUCGGCAGAGCCGAGAAGAGACACUCUGGAGACUACCUACUGGAGGUGUUCAAUUUUGAUGGGGUUUUUGUGAAGAAUGUCACUGUGCAUCUUGAAGUAAAAGAUCUCGUACAUCCGUCGCCCGUGGUAACCAUGGUUGUGGCGGUGAGUGUUUCUCUGCUCCUGCUCGCCGCUGUGGGUCUCGGCCUCGGUUUGAUGAAACGUGACAGAGCGAGAACAUCUGCUGUGGACGAGGGUGUCAAUGAAGAUGGAAUUAUCUACUCAAAUGUUUUGAUAAAGGAGCAAACACCAGAUCAUCGGAUUGAAACUUUUGGUUAAACAUUGUAAAGAAACAGUCCGAUUCACAAAACUAACACCAUUGUGAUAACUUUGAUUAACUUGAAAAAUAAAGAAAGGUGAUAACAAAUGUCACUUUUUCUUUUUCUUCUAUUCAAAUCACUAUAUUAAAAUUAUUUUCGCUUAUACUGAUAUAAUGUUACUCAAAUUUUUAUUAUUUGUCUUGUAAUUCUGGACAAAACUUAUUAACAUGUGUUAAAGUGACUUGUGUCUUUUUUUUUCUUUUUUGAAGUUGUAUUUCACAAACACUUGAGAAAUAUAAGUCUGUGCAUGUGUUACUACAGAAUACACAUGUAUGCUCAUUUCCUCUGGUUUUUAGCCAGCCAAGUCCAUGAUUUAAACUUGUUUUAGCUCAGAUAGCUGGAUUAAAAGCUAAAGUAUCACAAUGAAUUACAUCAGAAGUAUAUUAAAAAAUAAAAGACAUAUUUAAAGGUGUUCAUAAAAGAUUAUGUAUAAAAUAUUGUGCUUUUUAAAGGUAAGUUCUGUUGACGCUGCAGUGGAAAGGACCAAACCAGCCUUUGUGCAUUUAAGGGAUGUUUUGUGGGACAAUUCAUUCCAACAUCUGCUUAAGAUGAGCAACACGCUUGUUGUUGUCUCACUUUGACCACAAAGUGGCAGCAACAUGCAGCAAAAGGCUGCUGUGGAACAUCUGGGUAAGAAAUGCUUUGUUCUGCUCACUUUGUGGAGAACUCUUUGAAGCCUUCAAACUCAAGGUUUUAACAAUAAAACUAAACCUCGAGGGUUACGAGUUGUUCUUUUAUUAAAGAGUCAAAUUGUUCAUUUGGACACUGAAACGUAACAAAAUGUGUGACUGACAUUAUGUUUUAGCUUUGCAGUAGAUAAUUACAGAUAAUUCUAUUAAAUUAGAAAGCAAAGUUCGGUAAGUUAAAAUGUAGAACUUCACCAACAUCACGUGCAUUUAAGUCUGGUUUCAUCUAUUCAAAUAUGCACAUUAACUAUGGUAUGAGGUAAAAGUAGUGAUGUAAUUAUAAUUGGAUAAAAGACGCACUGGGGGAGAAUAUAACUUAUAGUUCUCAAUAAAUGUAUUUACUUGUUAGUCGUUUUUUUAUCAUCUGUUACAGCUCAGAUUUUACUGUUAAUAGUUUCAACCGGAACGACAAAGAAAUAUUCCAAAUGAAACCUUUUAAAUCUACAAAAUACGUUUUCACA